AUUGAACGCUGGCGGCAUGCCCUACACAUGCAAGACGAACGGCAGCACGGGAGCAAUCCUGGUGGCGAGUGGCGAACGGGUGAGUAAAGUAUCGGAACGUGCCCAGUCGUGGGGGAUAACGUAGCGAAAGUUACGCUAAUACCGCAUACGAUCUAUGGAUGAAAGCGGGGGAUCGCAAGACCUCGCGCGAUUGGAGCGGCCGAUAUCAGAUUAGGUAGUUGGUGGGGUAAAGGCUCACCAAGCCGACGAUCUGUAGCUGGUCUGAGAGGACGACCAGCCACACUGGGACUGAGACACGGCCCAGACUCCUACGGGAGGCAGCAGUGGGGAAUUUUGGACAAUGGGCGCAAGCCUGAUCCAGCCAUGCCGCGUGCAGGAUGAAGGCCUUCGGGUUGUAAACUGCUUUUGUACGGAACGAAAAGGUUUGACUUAAUACGUUGGACUCAUGACGGUACCGUAAGAAUAAGCACCGGCUAACUACGUGCCAGCCGCCGCGGUAA
rnacentral:rRNA from 1 species